UACGAAGGGGGCUAGCGUUGCUCGGAAUCACUGGGCGUAAAGCGCACGUAGGCGGAUUGCUAAGUCAGGGGUGAAAUCCUGGAGCUCAACUCCAGAACUGCCUUCGAUACUGCGGGUCUCGAGUCCGGGAGAGGUGAGUGGAAUUCCUAGUGUAGAGGUGAAAUUCGUAGAUAUUAGGAAGAACACCAGUGGCGAAGGCGGCUCACUGGCCCCGGUACGUGACGCUGAGGCGGCGAAAAGCGUGGGGAGCCAAACAGG
rnacentral:rRNA from 1 species